ensembl:misc_RNA 7SK 7SK RNA
AGACUUCAAGAAGUGUCUUGCUACGACAUCUGUCACCCCACUGCUGGCCAGGGUCGAUUUGGCUGGUCUGGCUGGCUAGGCUGGUGUCCCCCUUCCUCCCUCACCACUCCAUGUGAGUCCCUUCUGGGGCUGUGCUAGGUCGGAGAGGAUGACCUUCCCCGAUACAGGAGGACCAUUCUGUGGUCAAAGGUACAGGAGUAGCUGUGCUCUCCCGCCAGAAUCUCCCAACAAGCUCUCAAGGUCCAUUUGUAGGAGGAAGUAGGGGACCCAAGCUUCCAAGAUUCCAGACAUGUCCAUAUGAGGCCCUGCACGUGGCAGUCUGCCUUUCUAA